AUUGAACGCUGGCGGCAGGCCUAACACAUGCAAGUCGAGCGAGCGGCGGACGGGUGAGUAAUGUAUGGGGAUCUGCCCGAUAGAGGGGGAUAAAUACUGGAAACGGUGGCUAAUAACGCAUACCAUCAGAUGUGCCCAGAUGGGAUUAGCUAGUAGGGAGGGUAAUGGCUCAACUAGGCGACGAUCCCUAGCUGGUCUGAGAGGAUGACCAGCCACACUGGAACUGAGACACGUUCCAGAUUCCUACGGGAGGCAGCAGUGGGGAAUAUUGCACAAGGGGCGCAAGCCUGAUGCAGCCCUGCCGCGUGUGUGAAGAAGGCCUUCGGGUUGUAAAGCACUUUCAGCGAGGAGGCUUUACUCUCAGAAGAAGCACCGGCUAACUCCGUGCCAGCAGCCGCGGUAAUUC
rnacentral:rRNA from 1 species